CUGGUCGGAGAGCCUCCCCCCCGGGGAGGGGGCGGGUGUUCGGUGCGAUCUCCCGCGGCCAAGUGCCUAGUUUCACAUCGUUAAGAAAAUAUUCAAAUUUGACUUUCUUGGAACUUCUGACUCAGCAGUGAAAGUUCUUCUAUUGAGGCAAGCCAACAUUUAAUUUGAUAUUUAGAAGCAAAAUGUACAAUCCUUAAAACAAAAGCUCAGGAAACAUGAUUACAAUUUUCGAAGAUAAGGAAAGCCUAAUUGAGUAUUCUGUUUUGAAAUAUCACUCAAUUCAAUGUUGUCCUGCUGUAAGAAGAUUGAAACGAUUGCAGACAUCGUAAAGCUUAUGUUGCAAACACUAUACUUAUGAUUCAGGUACAGUGCUACUAAACCUGUGAAUGGUCAUUCAUUUGGAACAAAAUUCAUUCAUUCUGGUUUAAAAUAUGAUAUGCUGAUUUAUGUAACUCCUCAAUAUAAACAUUUAAAUGGGCUCACAAUCUGUCUCAGUUCUAGCAUUUAUUGCAUAUCAUGGGCAACUGCAUUUCAGAGAUAGCUGUACCAUACAGUGUUAGUAACUGUAUCCUUAGAGAAUGUAAGGUUUACUGAAUGUUUGCUCUGCUUGUUUGACUGUGAAGUAUUUUGUAUAGUAGGAGGUUCCUUAGUUUAUUGACACUUUGAGUGCCCUUGCCAUGCAUAAUAGCAGUGACACUGGCGCAGAAUGUAGUGAAAAUUGAAUUGUAGCAAUUGAAUGCUUUAUGUUGUUAAGUGAACAAAAAUGGGAAAUAAACUUAAAUCUUCUAAAGGAG